rnacentral:rRNA from 1 species
GACGAACGCUGGCGGCGUGCUUAACACAUGCAAGUCGAACGGAAAGGCCCUGCUUUUGUGGGGUGCUCGAGUGGCGAACGGGUGAGUAACACGUGAGUAACCUGCCCUUGACUUUGGGAUAACUUCAGGAAACUGGGGCUAAUACCGGAUAGGAUCUCCUGCUGCAUGGUGUGGGUUGGAAAGUUUCGGCGGUUGGGGAUGGACUCGCGGCUUAUCAGCUUGUUGGUGGGGUAGUGGCUUACCAAGGCUUUGACGGGUAGCCGGCCUGAGAGGGUGACCGGCCACAUUGGGACUGAGCUACGGCCCAGACUCCUACGGGAGGCAGCAGUGGGGAAUAUUGCACAAUGGGCGGAAGCCUGAUGCAGCAACGCCGCGUGCGGGAUGACGGCCUUCGGGUUGUAAACCGCUUUCGCCGGUGACGAAGCGUGAGUGACGGUAAUGGGUAAAGAAGCACCGGCUAACUACGUG